GAUGAAGAACGUAGUAAAAUGCGAUAAGUAAUGUGAAUUGCAGAAUUCAGUGAAUCAUCGAAUCUUUGAACGCACAUUGCGCCCGCCAGUAUUCUGGCGGGCAUGCCUGUUCGAGCGUCAUUUCAACCCUCAAGCCCUCGGGUUUGGUGUUGGGGAUCGGCGAGCCUUUCUGGCAAGCCGGCCCCGAAAUCUAGUGGCGGUCUCGCUGCAGCCUCCAUUGCGUAGUAGUAAAACCCUCGCAACUGGAACGCGGCGCGGCCAAGCCGUUAAACCCCCAACUUCUGAAUGUUGACCUCGGAUCAGGUAGGGAUACCCGCUGAACUUAAGCAUAUCAAUAAGCGGAGGA
rnacentral:misc_RNA from 1 species